UGGACAGACGCUCGCCGUGUGCGGCCCAAA
rnacentral:piRNA from 1 species